GAUGAACGCUGGCGGCGUGCUUAACACAUGCAAGUCGAACGGUGAACACGGAGCUUGCUCUGUGGGAUCAGUGGCGAACGGGUGAGUAACACGUGAGCAACCUGCCCCUGACUCUGGGAUAAGCGCUGGAAACGGCGUCUAAUACUGGAUAUGUGUCGUGACCGCAUGGUCUGCGUUUGGAAAGAUUUUUCGGUUGGGGAUGGGCUCGCGGCCUAUCAGCUUGUUGGUGGGGUAAUGGCUCACCAAGGCGUCGACGGGUAGCCGGCCUGAGAGGGUGACCGGCCACACUGGGACUGAGACACGGCCCAGACUCCUACGGGAGGCAGCAGUGGGGAAUAUUGCACAAUGGGCGCAAGCCUGAUGCAGCAACGCCGCGUGAGGGAUGACGGCCUUCGGGUUGUAAACCUCUUUUAGCAGGGAAGAAGCGAAAGUGACGGUACCUGCAGAAAAAGCGCCGGCUAACUACGUG
rnacentral:rRNA from 1 species